rnacentral:rRNA from 1 species
CAGGUCGCCACGGGAAUACAGAGGGUGCAAGCGUUAAUCGGAAUUACUGGGCGUAAAGCGCGCGUAGGUGGUUUGUUAAGUUGGAUGUGAAAGCCCCGGGCUCAACCUGGGAACUGCAUCCAAAACUGGCAAGCUAGAGUACGGUAGAGGGUGGUGGAAUUUCCUGUGUAGCGGUGAAAUGCGUAGAUAUAGGAAGGAACACCAGUGGCGAAGGCGACCACCUGGACUGAUACUGACACUGAGGUGCGAAAGCGUGGGGAGCAAACAGGAUUAGAUACCCCGGUAGUCCCUGUCUCUUAUA